rnacentral:rRNA from 1 species
GAUGAACGCUGGCGGCGUGCCUAAUACAUGCAAGUCGAGCGAACAGAUGAGGAGCUUGCUCCUCUGACGUUAGCGGCGGACGGGUGAGUGACACGUGGAUAACCUACCUAUAAGACUGGGAUAACUUCGGGAAACCGGAGCUAAUACCGGAUAAUAUAUUGAACCGCAUGGUUCAAUAGUGAAAGACGGUUUUGCUGUCACUUAUAGAUGGAUCCGCGCCGCAUUAGCUAGUUGGUAAGGUAACGGCUUACCAAGGCGACGAUGCGUAGCCGACCUGAGAGGGUGAUCGGCCACACUGGAACUGAGACACGGUCCAGACUCCUACGGGAGGCAGCAGUAGGGAAUCUUCCGCAAUGGGCGAAAGCCUGACGGAGCAACGCCGCGUGAGUGAUGAAGGUCUUCGGAUCGUAAAACUCUGUUAUUAGGGAAGAACAAAUGUGUAAGUAACUAUGCACGUCUUGACGGUACCUAAUCAGAAAGCCACGGCUAACUACGUG